rnacentral:rRNA from 1 species
GCGCACCAGUCGCGAAACCUUCGCAAUGCGGGAAACCGCGACGAGGGGACUCCCAGUGCCUACGCUCAGCGUAGGCUGUUCCCGAGCCUAGAAAGCUCGGGGAGUAAGGGCUGGGUAAGACGGGUGCCAGCCGCCGCGGUAAUACCCGCAGCCCGAGUGGUGGCCACUAUUAUUGGGCCUAAAGCGUCCGUAGCCGGCCCGGUAAAUGCCUGGGUAAAUCGUGAGGCCUAACCUCACAAAUUCCGGGUAGACUGCCGGGCUAGGGACCGGAGGAGGGAGAGGGUACUCCAGGGGUAGGGGUGAAAUCCUGUAAUCCCUGGAGGACCACCGGUGGCGAAGGCGCUCUCCUAGGACGGGUCCGACGGUGAGGGACGAAAGCCAGGGGAGCGAACCGGAUUAGAUACCCGGGUAGU